CCCUUAGAUGUUCUGGGCCACACGCGCGCUACACUGUUCGACGCAGCGAGUCUUAACCUUGACCGAAAGGUUUGGGUAAUCUUCAGCAAAGUCGAACGUGAUGGGGAUCGAUCAUUGCAAUUAUUGAUCGUGAACGAGGAAUUCCUAGUAAGUGCAAGUCAUCAGCUUGCGCUGAUUACGUCCCUGCCCUUUGUACACACCGCCCGUCGCUACUACCGAUUGAAUGGUUUAGUGAGAUCUCUGGAUUGACGCUGGCUAGGGGGCGACCCUUGGCCAGACUGCUCGAGAAACUGCUCAAACUUGAUCAUUUAGAGGAAGUAAAAGUCGUAACA
rnacentral:rRNA from 1 species